rnacentral:rRNA from 1 species
AGAGUUUGAUCAUGGCUCAGAAUCAACGCUGGCGGCGUGCCCCAGACAUGCAAGUCGAACGCGAAAGCUCCCUUCGGGGAGCAAGUAGAGUGGCGCACGGGUGAGUAACACGUAGGUAAUCUACCUUUGGAUGGGGAAUAACAACCGGAAACGGUUGCUAAUACCGCAUAAUGCAGCGGCACCUAAUGGUGACAGUUGUUAAAGCGGGGGAUCGCAAGACCUCGCGUCUGAAGAGGAGCCUGCGGCAGAUUAGCUAGUUGGUAAGGUAACGGCUUACCAAGGCGAUGAUCUGUAGCCGGCCUGAGAGGGCGGUCGGCCACACUGACACUGACAUACGGGUCAGACUCCUACGGGAGGCAGCAGUCGGGAAUUUUGGGCAAUGGGCGAAAGCCUGACCCAGCAACGCCGCGUGAAGGAUGAAAUCCCUCGGGAUGUAAACUUCGCAAGAACGGGAAGAAUAAGUAAGGGUUAAUAUCUCUUACGAUGACGGUACUGUUUGUAAGCUCCGGCUAACUCCGUGCCAGCAGCCGCGGUAAUACGGGGGGAGCAAGCGUUGUUCGGAUUUACUGGGCGUAAAGGGCGCGUAGGCGGCCACCGCAAGUCGACUGUGAAAUCUCCGGGCUUAACCCGGAAAGGUCAGCCGAUACUGCGGGGCUAGAGUGCAGAAGGGGCAACUGGAAUUCUCGGUGUAGCGGUGAAAUGCGUAGAUAUCGAGAGGAACACCUGCGGCGAAAGCGGGUUGCUGGGCUGACACUGACGCUGAUGCGCGAAAGCUAGGGGAGCGAACGGGAUUAGAUACCCCGGUAGUCCUAGCCUUAAACGAUGAAUGCUUGGUGUCUGGGGUUUUAUAGUCCCCGGGUGCCGUCGCUAACGCUUUAAGCAUUCCGCCUGGGGAGUACGGUCGCAAGACUGAAACUCAAAGGAAUUGACGGGGACCCGCACAAGC